rnacentral:misc_RNA from 1 species
GGAGGGAUCAUUAAGGCUAUAACGCAAGAGCUGCGGACUUGUCCGCGGUUCCAUCGUGUUCGCAGUUGAAGUACACCCCUCUAAGGGGAGCUUUACGUCUUAUCUCGUAGUUGUUGGCCAAUUUCACGCCUAAGAGUUUUUUUUAUUGGCCGAGCACAGUCUUUUGGCCAAAAAAAACUUGGCUUAUUGGCCAAUUCACGGUCAAAGAGCCACCUCUUUACGAGGAAGUGCCCUUAGACUUAAGAAUUAUGACCCUUAACGAUGGAUGUCUCGGGUUCAAGAUCGUUGAAGAGCGCAGCAAGGCGCGAUAUUCGAUGUGAUUUGCAGAACAUGUGAUGCAUCAGACUCUUGAACGCAUGUGCACUGCAGGUGCCCUGCAUCUGCAGUAUGUCCGGCUGAGUGCUAUCUCACUCACUUCGCAGACCUCCUCAGGGAGGUUUACGUGUUGGCGAGGGGACCCCCUCGCUUAAAUAGCUGACAAGGGUGCCCACCCCUUCUGCUUGCGUGAAUUGAGCACCUCGCACUCCUAGUUAGAGUCCGUAACCGCGUCAGACUUCGCAUGCAGUAAGGGCCCCAUAAAAUGUGUUGCACCCUUAAAGGCAGGCACUACGUGCACUACGCAGCACGUACAGAGUCCAAGGCUCGCUCUCCCGAGGGCUAAUUGUCAGGUUCCGGGCUACGUGCCCUUUGAGCUCCCAGGAUCACCAAUGGUGAGUGGGGUAUGCUUGGGGGGCCAUUAGUACCAUGAUCUCUGUCCCCUCACCAUUUUGAGAGUGGCCUUAGCCAAAUCUGCGCCCUGCUUCUUUUGCCCUUUAGCCUCAGCUCGGACAGGACCAUCCGCUAGACUUAAGCAUAUUAUUCAGCGGAAGACAAGAAAACAACCGUGAUUUCCCUAGUAACUGCGAGUGAAGAGGAAUAAGACCAGGAUGAAUCGGGGGGAUUUAGCUUCUGCCUCGAGUUGUGUCCUUUAGAUCGGCGUCUUUGUGUGGUUCUCCCUCAAGUUGGCUGGAAAGCCACGCCAUAGAAGGUGACAGCCCUGUUGAAGGAGAAAGGUCCCGCACAUCGGCAGCUGAAUCGCAGAGUCGCGCUGUCUGGGAGUAUAGCGCAAAUCAGCAGGUAAGCCCCUGCUAAGUCUAAAUAUGGCUUGAACACCGAUAGCGAACAAGUACCACGAGGGAAAGAUGCAAAGGACUCUGAAAAGAGAGUUAAAAGUACCUGAAAUCGUUAAGGUGGAACCAGUGACAACAGCCUGCGUAGUGUGGCCGAAUCACUGCGCGGCCAGUGAGUUUCCAGUCUUUCCAGGGGCGUCUACGGGCAUUCUGCGCCGAGAGACUGAACAAGUUGGCUGCGUGGGCACUUUGGCCACGCUCGUUCAUAAUCCCUGCGUGUUGGGCCUGUUAGACUGGGACGACUCUGGGCAACCAGGUUAAGUCCAGCCAAAACACCCCGAUGCUCUGGGAGGUUAAAGGAGCAGCCCUGCGCGACGCGUGGUUACUCGUUGGCUGCGUCAGGUAAGCAUCCUAGAUGCUUGCUCGUCGUUGGCUAGCGUGUGUGGCUACGUUCGCCUGCUUUCCUAUUGAUUAUGAGGAGGAUUGCCACUGACCCGUCUUGAAACACGGACCAAGGAGUCUAACCUGCGCACGAGUUUAAGGGUGCCUAAACCCGUAAGCGAAGAGAAAUCGAGAGCAGCGAGACGCUACUGGCCACGGUCAGUGGCUGCAUCGCAGGCCCAGCCUGAGGUAAGUCCGAGGGUUUGGAGUCGGAGUGCGCAUGUUAGGACCCGAAAGAUUGCGAACUAUGCUUGCAUAGAGUGAAGCCAGGCGAAAGUCUGGUGGAGGCUCGUAGUCGUACUGACGUGAAAAUCGUUGAUCAAAUGUGAGUAUAGCGGCGAAAGACCAAUCGAGCAGUCUAGUAGCUGGUUCCUGC